AGCUCCGGGAGCGGCCCGCGCAGGAGCACCAGCGAAAGCAGCCAGUCUGAGAUAUUGACACUACAGAAAAAACUGACAGCUUACUCCUUGUAUUGAUUCUACUCUUCUCUACAAAUAUAGACUCCGUUCCCUACCACAGCCUUGUUCAGUCGGCAAUGUGUUGUUGACAAGGACAAAAGGAAUCAAUGUAGAUAUUGUCGAUUAAGAAAGUGUUUUAGAGCGGGAAUGAAAAAAGAAGCUGUACAAAAUGAACGCGAUAGAAUAAGCACCAGAAGAAGCACAUUUGAUGGCAGCAACAUCCCCUCCAUUAACACACUGGCACAAGCUGAAGUUCGGUCUCGCCAGAUCUCAGUCUCAAGCCCUGGGUCAAGCACUGACAUAAACAUUAAGAAAAUUGCAAGUAUUGGUGA
rnacentral:sRNA from 1 species